rnacentral:rRNA from 1 species
UACGUAGGGGGCGAGCGUUGUCCGGAGUUACUGGGCGUAAAGCGUGCGUAGGUGGUUUGUUAAGUCUGUUGUGAAAGCCCCGGGCUCAACCUGGGAAUGGCAAUGGAUACUGGCAAGCUAGAGUGCGGUAGAGGGUAGUGGAAUUCCCGGUGUAGCGGUGAAAUGCGUAGAGAUCGGGAGGAACACCAGUGGCGAAGGCGGCUACCUGGACCAGCACUGACACUGAGGCACGAAAGCGUGGGGAGCAAACAGG